CCUACGGGUGGCUGCAGUGGGGAAUAUUGCACAAUGGGCGCAAGCCUGAUGCAGCCAUGCCGCGUGUGUGAAGAAGGCCUUCGGGUUGUAAAGCACUUUCAGCGGGGAGGAAGGCGGUGAGGUUAAUAACCUCAUCGAUUGACGUUACCCGCAGAAGAAGCACCGGCUAACUCCGUGCCAGCAGCCGCGGUAAUACGGAGGAUGCAAGCGUUAAUCGGAAUUACUGGGCGUAAAGCGCACGCAGGCGGUCUGUCAAGUCGGAUGUGAAAUCCCCGGGCUCAACCUGGGAACUGCAUUCGAAACUGGCAGGCUAGAGUCUUGUAGAGGGGGGUAGAAUUCCAGGUGUAGCGGUGAAAUGCGUAGAGAUCUGGAGGAAUACCGGUGGCGAAGGCGGCCCCCUGGACAAAGACUGACGCUCAGGUGCGAAAGCGUGGGGAGCAAACAGGAUUAGAUACCCCAGUAGUC
rnacentral:rRNA from 1 species